rnacentral:miRNA from 1 species
AUUAGGUUGGCCAAAAAGUUCAUUCAGGUUUUUCCAUAACAUCUUACAGAAAAACUCAAAUGAACUUUUUUGUCAGUUCAAU